UUUAUUUUUUUUGCCAAAGGAAAACUGAAACACAGAAUAAUUAGUAGUUUGCUAGAGAAAGAUUUAAAAUCUAAACUCCCAAAUGAAAGAGCGGAAUUAAAGAAUGAAAGAUGUUGGAGUCCCGAAUUUAAAAGAAAAUAUUUGACUUCAAGAACAGAUGCCGUAGGGCGAAUAGAUGAUUAUUUACCAACUGAUGAUGAAUCUUCAUGUACAUCUACACCUUGUACUGUACAAUCAGGCAACAUCAGUACAACAGAUUGUACUGCAGAUCCAUCGACAAGAACAGAAUCAAAAACUCAAUUAUGUGAUACUAAUAAGGUGAAAUUCAUAAUAAUGAUGAUGAUGAU